rfam:Triticum urartu cultivar G1812 contig341804, whole genome shotgun sequence.
CAAGUACUCCCUCCGUCCGGAAUUACUUGUCAUCAAAAUGGAUGUGUCUAGAACUAAAAUACAUCCAGAUACAUCCAUUGCAAUGACAAGUAUUUUCGGAUGGAGGGAGUACAAG